CAACACUUACCUUGCCCGGAUCUUUUGCUUUCUUUGGCGCUUCAUCUUUGUGGAUGUGGCAUGGUUCAUAGACAUGGAAAGUUCGGCUCUCAUCAUGAACUCGCAGUGUGAGCUCUCCUUUCUCCACAUCAAUCAAAGCUCUUCCCGUUGCCAGGAACGGGCGCCCCAAAAUCAGCGGAAUUUUGUUCUCAUCCUCAAUGUCUAGAACCACAAAAUCUGCAGGGAAAAUAAAAUCCCCCACCUUCACGAGUACGUUCUCCACAAUUCCACGAGGGUAGGUGACCGACCUGUCCGCCAUCUGCAGCCUCA
rnacentral:lncRNA from 1 species